rnacentral:rRNA from 1 species
GACGAACGCUGGCGGCGUGCCUAAUACAUGCAAGUAGAACGCACAGUUUAUACCGUAGCUUGCUACACCAUAGACUGUGAGUUGCGAACGGGUGAGUAACGCGUAGGUAACCUGCCUGGUAGCGGGGGGUAACUAUUGGAAACGAUAGCUAAUACCGCAUAAUAUUAAUUAUUGCAUGAUAAUUAAUUGAAAGGUGCAAUUGCACCACUACCAGAUGGACCUGCGUUGUAUUAGCUAGUAGGUGAGGUAACGGCUCACCUAGGCGACGAUACAUAGCCGACCUGAGGAGGUGAUCGGCCAACCUGGGACUGAGACACGGCCCAGACCCCUACGGGGGGGAGCCGGAGGGAAACUUCGGCAAUGGACGAAAGGCUGACCGGGCAACGCCGCGUGAGGGAAGAAGGUUCUCGGAUCGUAAAGCUCGGUUGUAAGAGAAGAACGGGUGUGAGAGUGGAAAGUUCACACUGUGACGGUAUCCUACCAGAAAGGGACGGCUAACUACGUG